UACGGAGGGUGCGAGCGUUGUCCGGAAUCAUUGGGCGUAAAGGGCGCGUAGGCGGUCAGCACAAGUCAGUUGUGAAAUCUCCGGGCUUAACUCGGAAAGGUCAACUGAUACUGUGCGACUAGAGUGCAGAAGGGGCAACUGGAAUUCUCGGUGUAGAGGUGAAAUUCGUAGAUAUCGAGAGGAACACCGGCGGCGAAGGCGGCCAUCUGGACGAGGACUGACGCUGAGAUGCGAAAGCGUGGGGAGCAAACAGG
rnacentral:rRNA from 1 species